GACGAACGCUGGCGGCGUGCUUAACACAUGCAAGUCGAACGGAAAGGCCCUGCUUUUGUGGGGUGCUCGAGUGGCGAACGGGUGAGUAACACGUGAGUAACCUGCCCUUGACUUUGGGAUAACUUCAGGAAACUGGGGCUAAUACCGGAUAGGAGCUCCUGCUGCAUGGUGGGGGUUGGAAAGUUUCGGCGGUUGGGGAUGGACUCGCGGCUUAUCAGCUUGUUGGUGGGGUAGUGGCUUACCAAGGCUUUGACGGGUAGCCGGCCUGAGAGGGUGACCGGCCACAUUGGGACUGAGAUACGGCCCAGGCUCCUACGGGAGGCAGCAGUGGGGAAUAUUGCACAAUGGGCGGAAGCCUGAUGCAGCAACGCCGCGUGCGGGAUGACGGCCUUCGGGUUGUAAACCGCUUUCGCCUGCGACGAAGCGUGAGUGACGGUAAGGGGUAAAGAAGCACCGGCUAACUACG
rnacentral:rRNA from 1 species